rnacentral:lncRNA from 1 species
AGAGGAUGUCGAGGAUGAAGCUUCUGGAAAGUCUUAUUGCAAAGCAAGAACCGCUUGCCGACUAUGAAGAAGCGUUGAAGAAAAAGCUGAUUUCCGAAUUGAUGUCUUAAGAUUGGAUACUCAAGUUCGUUUAAGUUAGUUUAAGUUGUGUCAAAGUAGUCUCAAGUUAGUUUAAGUUGUCUCAAGUUAUGUUGCCUAAACUUAGUUUAAGUUUAGGUCAAGUCUCUGUUUGAAAUUGUUGUCUGAAUGUGUUGUCUCGUGUUCUACUUAUGG